UUCGCUUAGAUAGAGAUAGAUAACUUACUUCGCUCGUAGAGAUAGAUAGCUUCGCAAGGUUGCUUGCUUCAGUUACAUUGAUUAGUCAAUGAGUUCGAGUUCGGAAGGAAAUAGAGUAAUGAGGAUAGAGUAAAGGGUCCCAAGAAGGCAGGUAAGGUGGCAAUGAGGAAAGGAAGGAAAGCUACAGAAGCAGGUCAGUCAGUCCUAGUUCCAGUAUUGGAGGAAGCAAGGCAUAGAAAGCAGGGCAUGUCAUGGGUUGUAGGGAAGAGGUAACACAUGUACAUGAAAGCAAGCGCGAGCAGAG
rnacentral:lncRNA from 1 species